rnacentral:rRNA from 1 species
GAUGAACGCUAGCGGCAGGCCUAAUACAUGCAAGUCGAACGGAUAUAUGUUUUCGGAAUAUAUAUUAGUGGCGCACGGGUGAGUAACACGUACAUAACUUGCCCUCAAGCGGGGGAUAGCCUUGGGAAACUGAGAGUAAUACCCCAUAGAAUUAUUGGACGGCAUCGUUUGAUAAUUAAAACUACGGUGUUUGGGGAUAGAUGUGCGUCUGAUUAGCUAGUUGGUGAGGUAACUGCUCACCAAGGCGACGAUCAGUAGGGGGCGUGAGAGCGUGGCCCCCCACACGGGUACUGAGACACGGACCCGACUCCUACGGGAGGCAGCAGUAAGGAAUAUUGGUCAAUGGAGGGAACUCUGAACCAGCCAUGCCGCGUGAAGGAUGACGGCCCUCUGGGUUGUAAACUUCUUUUGGAUGGGGCGAAAAAACGGGAUUUAUCCUGGACUGACGGUACCAUCAGAAUAAGCACCGGCUAACUCCGUG